rnacentral:lncRNA from 10 species
GGAACUUGACCGAGUUGUUUGGGCCGCGAUGACCGCACGGCGUGAACCGUCCUGAGCAGGGCCCACGCCCGGCCCAAGCGGCCCAGCCACCGGGCUGGGGCGGUGUCUCCCUUUGCCCCCUCCCCCCCAUGAACGUCCGCCUCCCCCGCCCUCCUGCCCAGAGGACCCGGGACUGACAGCGCAGGGUGACGGUUGGGCAGCCCGCCGGGUGUCGGGACCAAGAGAGCCCCCCGGCCACCCGCUCAGCUGUUUCCUGCUCGUGUUUGUUGUGCCGAGGGAGGCCCCGCCGCCACCGCCGCCGCCGCGCUCUGCCGCCCCGGUCCCUCCCGAUUGGCCGGCUGGCGUCACGUGGCCUCCAUCAGCUGGGCCGGCGGGGGCGCUCGCGGGCCCCACUGCGGCUGCCGGAGAUCUGUUGGUAAUCUGAGGAUUUUUAUUCUACGUCGUCUUGACAGAUGGAAAACCUGAAGUAACUUCGGGCUAACCUUGUGUUUUUGG